UUCGAGUUUUCCGAUUUGAGGCGUGUUGUGCUUUCUUCAGAAGAAUAUGUGGAUCCAAACAAGCAUUUGGGUGUGAGAAGGGAACUUUCCCACAAAUUCGCCUGGCCGGCUUAGGUGGAGAAGGAGAUGAGUCGGAGGAAAGAGAAAUUACCUCAACAGAAUCCUCUUGGCUUUCAUUGUCUUCAUUCUACACAAGAGAUACAGAGGUGUAAACACAAAAUUAUCAGUAAUGGAUGGCGAGUUAAAAGAGGAUGCAUUUUUUAACUCCGAAAGUACGUCGCUGACUUGGGAUUCAUCGGCUUUAGAUGGCUCGGUAACGGCAACUU
rnacentral:lncRNA from 1 species